rnacentral:rRNA from 1 species
GACCCGUAAUCCGGGUUGCGGACAGUGUCUGGUGGGUAGUUUGACUGGGGCGGUCUCCUCCUAAAGAGUAACGGAGGAGCACGAAGGUUGGCUAAUCCUGGUCGGACAUCAGGAGGUUAGUGCAAUGGCAUAAGCCAGCUUGACUGCGAGCGUGACGGCGCGAGCAGGUGCGAAAGCAGGUCAUAGUGAUCCGGUGGUUCUGAAUGGAAGGGCCAUCGCUCAACGGAUAAAAGGUACUCCGGGGAUAACAGGCUGAUACCGCCCAAGAGUUCAUAUCGACGGCGGUGUUUGGCACCUCGAUGUCGGCUCAUCACAUCCUGGGGCUGAAGUAGGUCCCAAGGGUAUGGCUGUUCGCCAUUUAAAGUGGUACGCGAGCUGGGUUUAGAACGUCGUGAGACAGUUCGGUCCCUAUCUGCCGUGGGCGCUGGAGAACUGAGGGGGGCUGCUCCUAGUACGAGAGGACCGGAGUGGACGCAUCACUGGUGUUCGGGUUGUCAUGCCAAUGGCAUUGCCCGGUAGCUAAAUGCGGAAGAGAUAAGUGCUGAAAGCAUCUAAGCACGAAACUUGCCCCGA